UUGCGUUCAAAUCGCGCUGAAACGCUGGUUCUCGUGUGUCCACCAAAAUUAAGCAACGUUGAGCUUGGUUAAUACCUUGAUGGGUGACCACUUGGGAAUACCAAGUAUUGUAA